rnacentral:lncRNA from 1 species
AUGGUUCUUUCUAGCCCGAGCUGCAGCAUGAGGCACAGAAGGGGCAGGACACAGGAAAGGAGAUGCUGUUACAGUACCAGGGUAUUCAGGAGUGGCAGAAUGGAAAGAAGAGACCAUCUUGUACUAUCCAACAGGAUAUUUUAGUUCCUUCAAUUAGAAAGCGAUUUGUUGGAGAUUCACAUUGGCUCAUUUAGACUUUUUGAAAAAAGAGUGGCAGUUUAAAUCCAAUAUUUCUGGAACUUUCUAGUGGAGUAAUAGUACCUGUGGUUUCUGGAGCCAGCAGGAAAAGUUGUCCAGUGACAUUGACUGUACCACUUACUGCUGCUGUUCUUUGGUAUGUCAUUAGAACUUUUUUUAUGAACUUUGCUUCCUGUUCCUUUAAGCGCCUGAGCUUGUUCAGAACACCUACCUCUGCUACCUUUAAAAGUGCUGAAAAGCCGUAUGCUACCAAGCCAGAGCAAUAAGACAUAUGGAGACAACUUUCAGCCAUAUGCAGCCAGCUGGCUGAAAAGAUUUCUGGAAAUAAAUCCCAAUGCUUUAAAAGAAUAAAUAAAUAA